GUUGUUUUGGCAGAUUAGUGCUAUAAAUUUAGAAUUUAUGAAAGUAGAAAUAUUACAAACAAUA
rnacentral:tRNA from 1 species